rnacentral:rRNA from 1 species
CAUUCUAGUGCGGACGGGUGAGUAACACGUUGGAACCUGCCCCAAAGUGAGGAAUAAGCCACCGAAAGGUGGUCUAAUACUUCAUAAUAUCCAUCUCGUAUGGAUUAAAGCUUUAUGCGCUUUGGGAGGGGCCUGCGUAACAUUAGCUAGUUGGUGAGGUAAAAGCUCACCAAGGCUUCGAUGUUUAACUGGUUUGAGAGGAUGACCAGUCACACUGGGACUGAGAUACGGCCCAGACUCCUACGGGAGGCAGCAGUAAGGAAUCUUCCACAAUGGGGGCAACCCUGAAGGAGCAAUACCGCGUGCAGGAUGAAGCGUUUCGACGUGUAAACUGCUUUUAUCACCGAAGAUUAUGACUGUAGGUGAAGAAUAAGGACCGGCUAACUACGUG